rnacentral:rRNA from 1 species
GAGUUUGAUCCUGGCUCAGGAUGAACGCUGGCGGUAUGCUUAACACAUGCAAGUCGAACGAGAGUUUUUAACUCUAGUGGCGAACGGGUGCGUAAUACGUGAGAAUCUGCCCUUAGGAGAAGAAUAACUACUGGAAACGGUAGCUAAGUCUUCAUAUGCCGAGAGGUGAAAUAGUUUCAACUGCCUAAGGAUGAGCUCACGCCUGAUUAGCUUGUUGGUGAGGUAACGGCUUACCAAGGCCACGAUCAGUAGCUGGUUUGAGAGAACGAUCAGCCACACUGGGACUGAGACACGGCCCAGACUCCUCCGGGAGGCAGCAGUGAGGAAUUUUCCGCAAUGGGCGAAAGCCUGACGGAGCAAUACCGCGUGAGGGAUGAAGGAUUUUGGUCUGUAAACCUCUUUUCUCAAGAAAGAAGUUCUGACGGUACUUGAGGAAUAAGCAUCGGCUAACUCCGUGCCACGCAGCCGCGGUAAUACGGGGGAUGCAAGCGUUAUCCGGAAUCAUUGGGCGUAAAGCGCCUGUAGGUUGUUUAGUAAGUCUGUUGUUAAAGACCAGGGCUUAACCCUGGGAAAGCAAUGGAAACUACUAGACUUGAGUAUGGCAGGGGUAGAGGGAAUUUCUAGUGUAGCGGUGAAAUGCGUAGAUAUUAGAAAGAACACCGGCGGCGAAAGCGCUCUACUGGACCAUUACUGACACUCAGAGGCGAAAGCUAGGGGAGCAAAAGGGAUUAGAUACCCCUGUAGUC